UGGUUCUGGCAUCGAUGAAGAACGCAGCGAAAUGCGAUAAGUAAUGUGAAUUGCAGAAUCCAGUGAAUCAUCGAAUCUUUGAACGCACAUUGUGCCCUCUGGCAUUAAAGAUGUCUCUUUGGCGUUGGGCAAUGCCCGGAGGCAUGCCUUAAAAUCAGCGAUGGCGGCCUUUGGCCACGGGCGCACAAACGUGCCUAGCCGGUCGGACGUCGCGGUCGAUUGACGAAUCUCCAAAUGUUGACCUCGGAUCAGGUAGGGAUACCCGCUGA
rnacentral:misc_RNA from 1 species